ensembl:lncRNA
GUAGAUGGUAGUAGAGGUAGAUGGUAGUAGAGGGUAGAUGGUAGUAGAGGUAGAUGGUAGUAGAGGGUAGAUGGUAGUAGAGGGAGAUGGUAGUAGAGGGUAGAUGGUAGUAGAGGGUAGAUGGUAGUAGAGGUAGGGUAGAUGGUAAGGUAGAUGGUAGUAGAGGUAGAUGGUAGUAGAGGGGGUAGAUGGUAGUAGGGUAGAUGGUAGUAGAGGUAGAUGGUAGUAGAGGUAGAUGGUAGUAGAGGGUAGAUGGUAGUAGAGGUAGAUGGUAGUAGAGGGUAGAUGGUAGUAGAGGGUAGAUGGUAGUAGAGGUAGAUGGUAGUAGAGGUAGAUGGUAGUAGAGGGUAGAUGGUAGUAGAGGUAGAUGGUAGUAGAGGGUAGAUGGUAGUAGAGGGUAGAUGGUAGUAGAGGUAGAUGGUAGUAGAGGGUAGAUGGUAGUAGAGGUAGAUGGUAGUAGAGGUAGAUGGUAGUAGAGGUAGAUGGUAGUAGAGGUAGAUG